AUACGUAGGGUGCAAGCGUUAAUCGGAAUUACUGGGCGUAAAGCGUGCGCAGGCGGUUUUGUAAGACAGAGGUGAAAUCCCCGGGCUCAACCUGGGAACUGCCUUUGUGACUGCAAGGCUAGAGUACGGCAGAGGGGGAUGGAAUUCCGCGUGUAGCAGUGAAAUGCGUAGAUAUGCGGAGGAACACCGAUGGCGAAGGCAAUCCCCUGGGACUGUACUGACGCUCAUGCACGAAAGCGUUGGGAGCAAACAGGAUUAGAUACCCUGGUAGUCCACGCCCUAAACGAUGUCAACUGGUUGUUGGGUCUUCAUUGACUCAGUAACGAAGCUAACGCGUGAAGUUGACCGCCCGGGGAGUACGGCCGCAAGGUUGAAACUCAAAUGAAUUGACGGGG
rnacentral:rRNA from 1 species